rnacentral:lncRNA from 1 species
GUUUCAAGGUAUGUUUGUAACCAUUGUGGGUACAGCAUCUAGUUGAGUGUUCACCAAGCCAGACACAGACUUCGUAUAAUCUGGUAUUUUGAAGCAUUUUGCACAAGCCUUGAAGGCCUUCAAAUAUGAAGCUCAAUCUUAGUAUAGUUUUUAAUAUGUAAACUAUCAAAUUAUUCAGUGGUUGGCAGUUUGUUGAAAAGCUUGGACAUUCUGGCAGGGCUGAGGUCAUGAGUUUCUCUGUCACUAAGAGGGGUGUGUUUCUUGAUCAAGUUGCAAGUAAGAAAUGCUAUGAGGGUGUUUUCUGAUAAAAAAGCUCAUGUUUAUGAACUGUUAAGUCUGUAGUUUACUUCUGCAAAUACAUUUGCUGGGAUUAGUUUAAAUUUUUUAAAAUUUUGUACAUGCGUGGGAAGCAUUUUGUGUCAUCCACAUCAAUCUCCGUCAUCGUGUCCCCCGGACUUUUGGCCACAUGCAAAGGCUUAGGAACGUUUCUGCUACUCUUCCCUCCUCUCCUCCCUAUGCUGGAAUAUGGUUGUUCAAAAGGUUUCAUCUAUAUAAUCUGUUAAUGCAUUGUUUAGCAUUAACUCUCAGCCCGGCAUAACAUUCUGAAAUAUAUUCCUUCUAGCAAGUGGAACUGAUCUGUGAACAUGUCUCAUAACUCUUGUACAACCAAACUGUGCAUGCAGCUUAAAACCUUAUAUAUAAAAUUGACAGGUGGAAUUGUUUCACCUCAGGGGUAAUUAUUUUUUCUGAUAAUAAUUGUGGUGCAGGGCUAAACAUAUUAUGGCAGUACUUUAAUCGUGUACUGCAGCUCUUACCUAGCCACCUGUAAUUUCUAGUAACACUGGAAAUACUGAGUAACUUGGGAAAGACCAAAGAAACUUGCUUUUAAAUUCUUUAUUUUAAAAGCUGAAUAAAAUGUAGGAUCUUGUUGAUGUCGACUUUAAAAAAAGAAAAAAAUCUUUUCCUACGUAGAUUAACUUUCAGGCAUCUUUAGUUCUCUCUUACACAAUUCAUUUCAGUUAUCUUCGUUUUUAAUCAAAUGUUCUGCUUUCAGGCGAAGGGGAUGAGAUCAAGGGAUUGUACCAGAAUAGAACUGUAAUCUAGUGAUAAAACCUCGUCAGCGUUGUGAAUGAAACUGAAGUUUCUUGUCUCUUUAUAAUUUAGAUGAAAACAGUCAUGGCUAGAACAAAGUUGUUCAUUUAAUAUAACUCUUGGGAAAAAAAAAAAAAAAA